AUAACCAGUUGAUAACCAUGGCUAUGAAUGCUAAGAAACCAACCUUGCUGAAACACAUCUUAUUCCUGUCACUCUCUAUUGGCCUCGUCAUUCUCCCAGGGAGCCUAUCAGGAUCCCUCGAACCUGGACCCAUCUUCCUCUACUACUCUCUUCCCUGCCUGUGAAGAUACAUUCAUAGAAAAUGACUCAAGUAAAAGUGAAAGUCACCCAGUAAAAUGUUACUUGAGAAAAGGUCUGAAAGUUUCAACAAAUAUCCUGAAGUAUCAAAAUUAAAUUAUAUUUCAAAUGAAAUAUAAUCUUUGGGAAUGUAGUUAAGUGAAAGUUGUCAAACAUAUAAAUAGUAAGGACACCCCCAAUAAAACUACUUUAUUAGUACUUUCAAAUAUUUUUACUUUAGUACUUUACACCACUGGCUAAUGGCCGACAUCGGCAACUCUCGUUGGGUUAAUGAGGCAACUAGUCACACCUGUGACAGGUCCUUUAAAAGGAGAGGUGGAAGAGGUAGAACAUAACUUAGAGGGAGACACCCAGUGAAUCCCUUGGAAGAGUGCAGAAGACCAUCAUGGCGCUAUUGACUGUCAUUCUGCUUGUCAGCACAGCUUUUUCUCUGGGAGAUGCUACGAAAGGACCCAAGACCCCCCGUGAACCUCCUAUAAAUACUGUGAAAAAUGGCCCGCCUGGAGACUACGGCUCCACGUGCGACUGCCAGGGAGAAUACGCUCCUGAGCACCACUGGGGCUCUACAGGUUCCUCUUCGUGUCUUACCAGAACUGGAUGGACUAUCCCGGAAACUCAUCCUGGCACUGCACCAAUCAAAUGUGCAUGCAGUGGUGCUUGCAGAUGAAAGGUGUUGGAAGAGAAGACUGCGAAAUACAUUGCUGGGUUGUCUUUACUGUACUAUGGGAGCAGACUCACGUUCCGUAUACAUGAAGAGAUCCAGAGAUACGAUUGUUGCAUUACAUCCUUUAUUGGUUUGAUUUGCCGAACGUUUUAGCUGAGCGUUUCUGGGACAUGGAGGAAUGACUUGGGCGACUAUGAUGACCCGUAUGACCACCACACGUGUCAUAAAGGCAGUCAAAUUCCAUGUGACCACUUCGUCAUGGUAACUGGGCUUUAACAAGCUAUUGUGCUGCUGAUGGUCAUGAGUAGUCUACUGUACUUCCUGGUACUCGGCACUUUAUUGCCCUCUAAUCACUAGCAAUGUAAUUGCAAAUCAACUAUUGAUCAUUGUACAUGUGAUUAGCAGAUUUUUUUUAUUUCUUGUGGGUGUAGUGAAAUGCUUGUGCAUCUAGCUCUGACAGCCCAGUAGUAUCUAACAAAUUACACGUAUACACACCGGUAGGAGUGACUUAAGACUAUUGUUCAGUAAUUUUGUAAUCGAUGUUCAUAAAUUCCAAUUAUCUGUCUGAUACCCAGAGGUUGUAAAGUUCUGGUCUUAAAUAAAAAAACUUAAUUCCCAGCUCACAAUAGCGCAGAUCCAGAUUUAUUUGCGAGAGCUCUCUCGUGCAUACACAAAUACAUUCCUUUUACACCAUUCUAACCUACGCACAUACAUAGGGAUUUUUCUCAUGAGUCUCACCCCAGUUUAUAACCACUCAGCUGACAGUUCCAGGCUCCCCCAGAUACUAGAGUUCUGGAGGGUCUCUCCCCAGAUUUACAGCCAGGUCGGUUCAAACAUAGGUUAAUGACCCUCUUUGUUCUCUUUCGACACACAUGCAUUCAUUUCUUCCUAGAUCUAUGCUACAUAACCCCUUCCUAAUGAACAAACAUUAUUUAACACUACCAGAAAGACACUUCUACCCUACGUUAAAUGUAUGUCAUUAUUCAUAAAUCCCAUAAUCCACACUGACUAAUUAUACUCACAAGCACAUCUCUUUUUAUUAAGUGUGUUAUCCAAAAUCAAACUAACAGCUACCGAUAUAUAAUUACAUUGACGGUUCUAGGCCUGAAGCAUGACUCUUAUCAGGAUUUUUUUAUCUACAAGGAAACAUCAAAAAUGGUCUCAUCAAACAGGCUCCUCGUAAUUAAAAGACCGAGCCCUCUCCUAGGCCUGGAAGUCUGUAUUCUUCAUCCCACUGGUCAGAGCUUUGCAUCGUUCCGUAGCUCACCAUCUUGAGUCAAUCUCUCUCGAGUCAUGGAAAUGAGAAUGUUCACGCAUGGAAUCAAACCACAUCCGCACAAAACUGAAAGUCACACAGGUGAAAGUUGCCCACAACUCUAAUCACAUUUUCCCAUUUUCCAAACAUACUGUCAAACAACUCAUCAGAAAUAUCCACCCCAGAGUUUUCUGCUAAUGUUAACCCAGCCAGGGCCUUGGUCGCUGUGCCAUCGGGGAUGAAAUUACAACAUUCUGCUCAGAUU
rnacentral:lncRNA from 1 species